AUGGCAGAAUAGUGCAACGGACUUAAACCCCGUAUAUAAAGUCAACCCCUUUUU
rnacentral:tRNA from 1 species